CACGUGGGUAACCUGCCUGUAAGACUGGGAUAACUCCGGGAAACCGGGGCUAAUACCGGAUGGUUGUUUGAACCGCAUGGUUCAAACAUAAAAGGUGGCUUCGGCUACCACUUACAGAUGGACCCGCGGCGCAUUAGCUAGUUGGUGAGGUAACGGCUCACCAAGGCAACGAUGCGUAGCCGACCUGAGAGGGUGAUCGGCCACACUGGGACUGAAACACGGCCCAGACUCCUACGGGAGGCAGCAGUAGGGAAUCUUCCGCAAUGGACGAGAGUCUGACGGAGCAACGCCGCGUGAGUGAUGAAGGUUUUCGGAUCGUAAAGCUCUGUUGUUAGGG
rnacentral:rRNA from 1 species